rnacentral:rRNA from 1 species
CCGACCGGGUACGGGUAGGUAAACGGUACCGGUACGUUAGUCGGACCCGUACGCCCGGUUCCGGUCACGGGGAGGGUAAUACGGAGGAGAAUCCCGUCUAAUACCGCGUAAUGCCGCGGGGCUGCAUGGCCCUGCGGCCAAAGGGAGCGAUUCCGGCAACGGAUGGGCAUGCGUGACAUUAGCUAGUUGGCGGGGCAACGGCCCACCAAGGCGACGAUGUCUAGGGGUUCUGAGAGGAAGGUCCCCCACACUGGUACUGAGACACGGACCAGACUCCUACGGAAGGCAGCAG